rnacentral:rRNA from 11 species
ACCUGGUUGAUCCUGCCAGUAGUCAUAUGCUUGUCUCAAAGAUUAAGCCAUGCAUGUCUAAGUAUAAAUGACUUUAUACAGUGAAACUGCGAAUGGCUCAUUAAAUCAGUUAUAGUUUAUUUGAUAGUACUUACUACUUGGAUAACCGUGGUAAUUCUAGAGCUAAUACAUGCGAAAAGGCCCGACUGUUUGGGAGGGUUGUAUUUAUUAGAUAAAAAACCAACAUUUUUCUUGGUGAAUCAUAAUAACUUGGCGAAUCGCAUGGUCUUGUGCCGGCGAUGAAUCAUUCAAAUUUCUGCCCUAUCAACUUUCGAUGGUAGGAUAGUGGCCUACCAUGGUAUCAACGGGUAACGGGGAAUUAGGGUUCGAUUCCGGAGAGGGAGCCUGAGAAACGGCUACCACAUCCAAGGAAGGCAGCAGGCGCGCAAAUUACCCACUCCCGACUCGGGGAGGUAGUGACGAAAAAUAACAAUACAAGACUACAUCCGAGGCCUUGUAAUUGGAAUGAGUACACUUUAAAUCCUUUAACGAGGAUCUAUUGGAGGGCAAGUCUGGUGCCAGCAGCCGCGGUAAUUCCAGCUCCAAGAGUGUAUAUUAAAGUUGUUGCGGUUGAAAAGCUCGUAGUUGGAUUUAUGCUAUGCUGGUACAGUCGACCCCCUGGGUAGGACUUGUAUUGUUGCAUUGCACACUGUAGAAUUUGUGUAUGUUUUUCAGUAAAUGUGCAGAAUACUACUUAGUUACUUUGAGGAAAGUGGAGUGUCACACGCAGGUUGCGCCGUGAACAUGCUAGCAUGGCAUGACGCUGUAUGACUACGAGUCUUUUUGAACGGUUUCGGGACACGUGGUAAUGAUUGAUAUGAGGUGUUGGGGAUACUCAUAUUUGACAGUUAGAGGUGAAAUUCUUGGAUUUGUCAAAGAUGAACAAAUGCAAUAGCAUUUAUCAUGGAUGUUUCAUUUGAUCAAGAACGAAAGUUAGGGGAUCGAAGACGAUCAGAUACCGUCCUAGUCUUAACCAUAAACUAUGCCAACUGGAAAUUGGAAUAUAUGGAGAGAAAAUAUAUUCAGUAUUGUGCCUGAAAAGAGUAAGUGUGUGGGCUCCGGGGGGAGUAUAGUUGCAAGACUGAAACUUAAAGGAAUUGACGGAAGGGCACCACCAGGAGUGGAGCCUGCGGCUUAAUUUGACCCAACACGGGAAAUCUCACCAAGUCCAGACAUACGCAGGAUUGACAGAUUAAUUGCUCUUUCUCGAUUGUAUGGGUGGUGGUGCAUGGCCGUUCUUAGUUGGUGGAGUGAUUUGUCUGGUUAAUUCCGUUAACGAACGAGAUCCUAUUCUGCUAACUGUUGCAACAGUCUUUGGAAUGUUGGUACACUUAGAGGGACAUUGCGUGAGUAAUGCACGGAAGAGUCGGGCAAUAACAGGUCUGUGAUGCCCUUAGAUGUUCUGGGCCGCACGCGCGCUACACUGACGCAUUCACCGAGUUCUUCUGUCCUGCAUCGAGAGGUGUGGGUAAUCUGUUGAACCUGCGUCGUGAUGGGGAUAGAUUAUUGCAACUAUUAAUCUUCAACGAGGAAUUCCUAGUAAGCGUGAUUCAUCAGAUCGCGUUGAUUACGUCCCUGCCCUUUGUACACACCGCCCGUCGCACCUACCGAUUGAACGUUCCGGUGAGACCUUGGGAUUCUGUUUUUGGCCGUUUAUUCGGGUAUUGACGGGAGAACUUGAGCAAACCUUAACGUUUAGAGGAAGGUGAAGUCGUAACAAGGUUUCCGUAGGUGAACCUGCGGAAGGAUCAUU